UCUUGACAUGCUGGUUACAGGGUAGCCCGGC
rnacentral:piRNA from 1 species